UGGGGAAUAUUGGACAAUGGGCGCAAGCCUGAUCCAGCCAUGCCGCGUGAGUGAUGAAGGCCCUAGGGUUGUAAAGCUCUUUCACCGGUGAAGAUAAUGACGGUAACCGGAGAAGAAGCCCCGGCUAACUUCGUGCCAGCAGCCGCGGUAAUACGAAGGGGGCUAGCGUUGUUCGGAUUUACUGGGCGUAAAGCGCACGUAGGCGGACUUUUAAGUCAGGGGUGAAAUCCCGGGGCUCAACCCCGGAACUGCCUUUGAUACUGGAAGUCUUGAGUAUGGUAGAGGUGAGUGGAAUUCCGAGUGUAGAGGUGAAGUUCAUAGAUAGUCGGAGGAACACCAGUGGCGAAGGCGGCUCACUGGACCAUUACUGACGAUGAGGUGCGAAAGCGUGGGGAGCAAACAGG
rnacentral:rRNA from 1 species